GCGCGAUUAGCUCAGCGGGAGAGCGCUUCCCUGACACGGAAGAGGUCACUGGUUCAAUCCCAGUAUCGCGCACGA
rnacentral:tRNA from 5 species